AAAAUUUGUUCUGGCUUGAAUUAUCAUAUCUAAGGGUGGAAGAUUCAGGUUCCAUUGAAUUGCUAAGUAGUUCCAAUAGGAGGAGCUAAAAGGGCAUUCAGAAAAUAAUGGAAGCUUGUUUCUUCAGUGCCAAGUUGCAGAUGGCACAAUUGUAAUUGUCUAAAGCUUUGUUCUUUCACUUAAGCAGGUUCCUCAUAUUGAGUCUAUCUUUGAGUAGGAGCCAGAAGAAGAAUCGAUGUUUCCCAAGGUUACCUGGAGCCCAGAGCUAGGAGAAACUUAUCCCUAUUAAAGAGAGUACUAGAAAUCAUCAGGGAUGCAUAGUAACAAAUCAAACAAAUAUCAUUAACAUGGUCACAUGCUCAGAUGUAUGGCGCAAUAACUGCCUGCUCUCAAGAUCCAGUCGAACCGAGCAGGCCACACCAUGCGGAACACCAAAACACUUGUAGUAUUAACCAUAUAGAUUGCUAAGAGUAAAAGGGAAGAAAAGAUUCACCCCCUCCAAAUCUCACAUCCUCGGAGAAUUCUUGGAAGGCAGCAAUGUCAUCACACUUGGAGGGGAUGAGGAAUAAAUUAAAGAAAGCGCCUGAAAUUGCCGGAACUGCUACAAACCGUGCCAAAAAGAUAAGGACAGCUAGCGGUUUUAUCCAACACAGGCAAACAAUUCAUCUGCACAUAGAUCGUUGUCCAUAGGGAAGGGGAGGCAGCCUCUGCGAGCAUUGGGAGAUCCCGAGGUAAGAAGAGAGGGAAGGAGGGACCAAACCGAGAGGAGGGCACGGCGGAGGAACAACAGAGUAGCCAGGACCAGGCCGCGUCGGUGGGGAGGGAGGGGCACCCACCAGCGACACCUGCUACCGCCACACCGUGCCCGGGGGAGGCGACUGCAGCCACUGGGGCUGACGUAGGGCCCAUGGCUGCGGCCGGCGGCAGCCACCUGGCGAGAGUUGUCGUGGAGGAGGAGGAAGAUGGUCACCGCUGCGCCGAGAGCCCGCCGCCGCCAUGCCGAGGGCUAGGCACGGACGCUGUCGCUGCGUCGGGAGAGCCCAAGAGAGAGGCAGAGGGAGAAGGGAAGCGGAGAGGACGGGUAGGGACACGGCGGAGAUGUUCGGAGAAGGGGGUUUUCUUUUUUUUGUUGACCACCGUGGAUAGACCAGCCGAGCUCCGUGCAUAAUUUUUUUCCCCUGCAACGGAGGUCGUACAGGAUAC
rnacentral:lncRNA from 1 species